AUGGUGGAACUACAUCUCAAAAUAUCACUGAGAAAGUCACAGAAGCAGCUGCACUUGCUAAAGAAAAUUCUGAAGAAUAUGGCCAAGAUUUCUACACUGUUUUAUUCUUUGAUGAGGCCAAUACUACUGAAGCCAUAGGAUUAAUAAAAGAAAUCAUGUGUGAUGGUACGAUGAAUGGAGAAAUGUUGAAUGUGAAUGGAAAUCUAAAGAUAGUAGCGGCUUGUAAUCCUUACAGGAAGCAUACUAAUGAAAUGAUAAAAAGGUUAGAAAACGCUGGUCUUGGAUAUCAUGUAGAUGCUGAUGCAACACCUGACAAGUUAGGACGUGUACCCAUGAGAAGAUUAGUCUACAGAGUACAACCUUUACCGUCCAGUAUGUUACCACUUGUGUGGGAUUUUGGUCAACUAAAUGUACAAAUUGAAGAACUAUACAUUCAGCAAAUGGCUAAGCGGGCAAUAGAGGAGCACAAACUGCCUAAUAUAUAUAAAUUAGAAAACUCACUUAGUAAAGUAUUAAUUGCCUG